CGCAAUCUUGGAUCUGUUCAUCGUGGAGCGCGCGCCCUGCCCCGACGAGUUUGUCGACGUGCGCGGAAUCGACUGGAUUUUCCUCAAG
rnacentral:SRP_RNA from 1 species